rnacentral:rRNA from 1 species
GACGAACGCUGGCGGCGUGCCUAAUACAUGCAAGUAGAACGCUGAAGGAGGAGCUUGCUUCCCUGGAUGAGUUGCGAACGGGUGAGUAACGCGUAGGUAACCUGCCUGGUAGCGGGGGAUAACUAUUGGAAACGAUAGCUAAUACCGCAUAAGAGUAGAUGUUGCAUGACAUUUGCUUAAAAGGUGCAAUUGCAUCACUACCAGAUGGACCUGCGUUGUAUUAGCUAGUUGGUGGGGUAACGGCUUACCAAGGCGACGAUACAUAGCCGACCUGAGAGGGUGAUCGGCCACACUGGGACUGAGACACGGCCCAGACUCCUACGGGAGGCAGCAGUAGGGAAUCUUCGGCAAUGGACGGAAGUCUGACCGAGCAACGCCGCGUGAGUGAAGAAGGUUUUCGGAUCGUAAAGCUCUGUUGUAAGAGAAGAACGAGUGUGAGAGUGGAAAGUUCACACUGUGACGGUAUCUUACCAGAAAGGGACGGCUAACUACGUG